rnacentral:rRNA from 1 species
UACGAAGGGGGGCCAGCGUUGUUCGGAAUUACUGGGCGUAAAGCGCACGUAGGCGGACAUUUUAAGUCAGGGGGUGAAAUCCCGGGGGCUCAACCCCGGAACUGCCUUUGAUACUGGGUGUCUCGAGUCCGAGAGAGGUGAGUGGAAUUCCGAGUGUAGAGGUGAAAUUCGUAGAUAUUCGGAGGAACACCAGUGGCGAAGGCGGCUCACUGGCUCGGUACUGACGCUGAGGUGCGAAAGCGUGGGGAGCAAACAGG